AGUAGUUUGAUCAUGGCUCAGGACGAACGCUGGCGGCGUGCUUAACACAUGCAAGUCGAACGGUGAAGGAAGAGCUUGCUCUUCCGGAUCAGUGGCGAACGGGUGAGUAACACGUGGGCAACCUGCCCCUGACUCUGGGAUAACUCCUCGAAAGAGGUGCUAAUACCGGAUACGACCACUUCGGACAUCCGAUGGUGGUGGAAAGUUUUUCGGUCAGGGAUGGGCCCGCGGCCUAUCAGCUAGUUGGUGGGGUAAUGGCCUACCAAGGCGACGACGGGUAGCCGGCCUGAGAGGGCGACCGGCCACACUGGGACUGAGACACGGCCCAGACUCCUACGGGAGGCAGCAGUGGGGAAUAUUGCGCAAUGGGCGAAAGCCUGACGCAGCGACGCCGCGUGAGGGAUGAAGGCCUUCGGGUUGUAAACCUCUUUCAGCAGGGACGAAGCGAAAGUGACGGUACCUGCAGAAGAAGCACCGGCUAACUACGUG
rnacentral:rRNA from 1 species